rnacentral:rRNA from 1 species
UACAGAGGUCUCAAGCGUUGUUCGGAUUCAUUGGGCGUAAAGCGCGUGUAGGCGGUCCGAUAAGUUCGCUGUGAAAGUCGGGGGCUUAACCCUCGGAUGCCGGUGAAUACUGUCGGGCUUGAGUACGGAAGAGGCGAGUGGAAUUCCUGGUGUAGCGGUGAAAUGCGCAGAUAUCAGGAGGAACACCAAUUGCGAAGGCAGCUCGCUGGGACGUUACUGACGCUGAGACGCGAAAGCGUGGGGAGCAAACAGG